rnacentral:rRNA from 1 species
GUCGGAAUUGCUAGUAAUGGCAGGUCAGCAUACUGCCGUGAAUACGUUCCCGGGCCCUUGUACACACCGCCCGUCACACCAUGAGAGUUGGAGAUACCCGAAGCCUGUGAGCUAACUUUUAGAGGCAGCAGUCGAAGGUAGAAUCAAUGAUUGGGGUGAAGUCGUAACAAGGUACC